CAGUAAAAGGCAAAACACGCGAAAGCGUGUGACGCAAAGCUAUGAGUCUAAAGCAUUUAUGCUAUGAUUGUCAGGCUGC
rnacentral:ncRNA from 1 species